CCAGUUUUGGUUCAGUGGUUAAGACGCUGCACUGCUAACGCAGGGGGCGUGGGUUCAAUUCCUGGUCUGGG
rnacentral:tRNA from 1 species